rnacentral:rRNA from 1 species
CGCAUCUGUGCAUGCAGCAUAUCAAUAAGCGGAGGAAAAGGCUGCGGAACUGAACGACCGAUACCUACGCUUAGGAUGUUGACGAGACUGUCGAUCUCAUCUAUACAUGACUCUGUGCAUAUCAAUAAGCGGAGGAAAAGUACCUACGCUUAGGAUGUUGACACACGCGCGUGCUCGACUCUAUACAUGACUCUGCGCAUAUCAAUAAGCGGAGGAAAAGGCUGCGGAACUGAACGACCGCUACCUACGCUUAGGAUGUUGACGAGACUGUCGAUCUCAUCUAUACAUGACUCUGUGCAUAUCAAUAAGCGGAGGAAAAGGAGUAUACCUACGCUUAGGAUGUUGACGAGACUGUCGAUCUCAUCUAUACAUGACUCUGUGCAUAUCAAUAAGCGGAGGAAAAGAGGGCUAUUACCUACGCUUAGGAUGUUGACGAGACUGUCGAUCUCAUCUAUGCAUGACUAGGCAUAUCAAUAAGCGGAGGAAAAGUGGCUAGUUACCUACGCUCUAGGAUGUUGACGAGACUGUCGAUCUCAUCUAUACAUGACUCUGUGUAUAUCAAUAAGCGGAGGAAAAGGUACCUACGCUUAGGAUGUUGAAGAUGUAGCACAUCAUACACGCAUGACACACUGCAUAUCAAUAAGCGGAGGAAAAGUCUGCUGAACUGAACGACCGCUACCUACGCUUAGGAUGUUGACGCGCGUGUGUGCGUGAGUCUAUACAUGACUCUGCGCAUAUCAAUAAGCGGAGGAAAAGGCUGCAGAACUGAACGACCGCUACCUACGCUUAGGAUGUUGAGCGCAUGUCUCUCUCU